UACGUAGGGCGCAAGCGUUAUCCGGAAUUAUUGGGCGUAAAGCGCUCGUAGGCGGUUUGUUGCGUCUGCCGUGAAAGUCCGGGGCUCAACUCCGGAUCUGCGGUGGGUACGGGCAGACUAGAGUGAUGUAGGGGAGACUGGAAUUCCUGGUGUAGCGGUGAAAUGCGCAGAUAUCAGGAGGAACACCGAUGGCGAAGGCAGGUCUCUGGGCAUUAACUGACGCUGAGGAGCGAAAGCAUGGGGAGCGAACGGG
rnacentral:rRNA from 1 species